rfam:Beta vulgaris subsp. vulgaris chromosome 8, whole genome shotgun sequence.
AUACCUUUCUCGGCCUUUUGGCCUGGCUAAGAUCAAGUGUAGUAUCUGUUCUUAUCAGUUUAAUAUCUGAUACGUGGGUCAUUGACCCACAACGAUAUUAAAUUUAUUUUUUUAAGGGGAGGAUCCACCAAAGUAGCUGUUAUUGGGAUCCUUGAGCAUCGCCCUUGUGUUGCACUAUUGCAUUGCAUGGGCUAGGUGCACCCCCA